AUAAUAAACCUCAACAUGGCAGUAAUAAGAGAUGACAUGACAUGGGCAUCCAGAAGACGAGUGUGCUUUUGAAGAUGGAAACUUCCAUCGUGGGCCUGAUCAGACACUGUUUAGGCUACUAGAAAGCCCUGCUUUAGCAUGAAUGUUGUGUUUUUGCCAGCUUUGAGGUGAUUAAUAUGGGAAAAGGUAUCAAUUAUUUUGAUAUAGGUGAGACCACCAAAGGAAUUCCACUGAAAACGAAGACUAUCUGUGUGCUGGAAUGUUUAAAUCACGAGGAGCACUACUUAGAAUGAAUUAGAUGACUUUGUAUGAGGGGUUAGACACUUAGACGCUGUUGGACUGUGUCUGGAAGGUGAGGCAGCACAUGGUUUAUAGGUUGAGAACAAGCAACCAUUUGCAGUCAAAUACUAACAAUUCCAAGGAUUGUUGAUGGAACACCCAACAGAACAGAUUCUUUGCACUAGAGCAAAAGGGACUAUACCUAGAGUGUCACAAGGCUUUUUAGAUGUUAGCAAGUAGAAUUCUGGGAUCCAAGAAGUUGAAGAAAAUGGCCAUAAGCGAGCUAAGGGUUUCUGUAACUAUUAGUUUGCGUCAGGGAACCACUGUUAAAACCAUUUUAGUGGAUGAGGAAGGUGGUGAUCAGGUUCAAGAAAAAGAAUGGGAAGAAAAACAGGGAGGCAGAAAGUCAAAGAAACACUUGCAAGUUGCGUUAUUCCACCUUGAGGACAAGGUGAUUUGUCGGUCGGCAGGAUCUUUUUAGGAAUAGGUCUUGAAGAAACAGUUGCCUUUCAAAAAAACCAACCUUUGUAACAAGGAUGUGUAAGAGACUAAGAGGUGCCUGGUAUUGUUGUACUUAAGAGGUACAUGAAUGCUGUUGGAGAAGAAUGAAACGAGGCACCAUUGCCCACUAUCAAAACCGAAGAGUUUCUAGGAAGAUGAAGACAAAGGGCAAUCAAAUACUAUCCAGGGUGAUAGUGGUACCAAUCGAGAGACUUGAGACUGAUUCAAAAGGUAAUAAUGGUAUGUCAACCAAGAUAUAUCAUGCAUGCCAAAUACGUGUGGCCGGUGUGGGAUUUACUAACUUGAUUGUAAGAGAAGCGUCCGAGAUCCCUUUGAAAGAAGAUUCGGCUGUUACUUGUUAUGCUUAGCCUUUCCAACUUAUGUGCUGUAUUGAUUCAUCUUCUGGGAAGAUUCUUCUCCUAAAGCUUCUCUGUUUCCAAAGAUUUUGGGUUUUUGUCUUUUUGACACAUAUCUUUUUAGUAUCCUUGUACCUUCUGCCACAAUGCUUGUUUUCUCUUAUGCAAAUCCUCUAAUAGAUCCAUAUUGUAUA